rnacentral:rRNA from 1 species
GGAUUAGAUACCCUGGUAGUCUUAGCCGUAAACGAUGGAUACUAGGCGUUGCUUGUAUCGACCCGAGCAGUGCCGUAGCUAACGCGUUAAGUAUCCCGCCUGGGGAGUACGCACGCAAGUGUGAAACUCAAAGGAAUUGACGGGGGCCCGCACAAGCGGUGGAGUAUGUGGUUUAAUUCGAUGCAACGCGAAGAACCUUACCAGGACUUGACAUCUGGCGAAUCUUGCCGAAAGGUGAGAGUGCCUUCGGGAACGCCAAGACAGGUGGUGCAUGGCUGUCGUCAGCUCGUGCCG